rnacentral:lncRNA from 1 species
UUAUUAGGUCUUUCCACCUUUCCGUGGAAAGACCUAUUGGAUUUCUUCUGAUUAUUAGGUCUUUCCACCUUUCCGUGGAAAGACCUAUUGCUUUUGUUCUGAUUAUUAUUAGGUCUUUCCACCUUUCCGUUGAAAGACCUAUUGAUUUUGUUCUGAUUAUUAUUAUUAUUAGGUCUUUCCACCUUUCCGUGGAAAGACCUAUAGGUUUUGUUCUGAUUAUUAUUAGGUCUUUCCACCUUUCCGUGGAAAGACCUAUAGGUUUUGUUCUGAUUAUUAUUAUUAUUAUUUUUUUUUUUCUUCCGCCUAAUUUUUUUUCUUGCGUAGUAUUGUUGUUUAAUAACUUGUCGCUUAGAUGUUUGGAAUAUGAUAUCGUAUAGUUUAUACGUUCAAAAAUUUACAACCGCGUAACAAAAUACUUUACGUUGUAUGAGUUAUCUCCAAGAACACUGUUUUUUCUUGUGGCCACUACUCCUUCG